UUCCUCUCGAGGACUUGUGUCGAGACGCGGUUGGUCGUCAUGCGUCGCCGAACCAUGAUCGUGCCCUGGCCGGCCGUGAUCGCCUGUUCGAGGGUGCGAUCGAAGUCGCUGGUGGU
rnacentral:rRNA from 1 species